GGCGAUUUCCAGAUCUAGGGUUUCAAUAACCCUGAAUCGUUCAUUUUCUCUCAAUCCGACAGAAGAUCCAGCGGGGUUGACCUCUAGAAGAUCCACUGGGUUUUUCUCUAAUCGGCACAAGAUCCACUGUGGAUGACAUGUAGGUACCGUUAUAAAACCACAUCUAAUGUUUUUUGUUUGUUAUUUGAGUCUGAUUUGGAUCUGGUUAAAAUUAUGUUUGCGAGGCAAUGCUUGAACGGGUCUCUGACAUGAUGGAAAAGGAUUUGAUUCUUGUUGGUGCAACUGGUAUAAACCAUCUUCUCCGAGAUCGGUUGCUGCUUAUGUUAAUCCUCAUCGUCUUUUGUUCAGAUCUUGUUUUAAUACCGGUAAUCGUUUAAUCUAGCUUUAGUUUACUUUGUAUCUGUUGUUUUUGGUUGAUUUUAGGUGUUAAAAUCACGUUUUAUAUGAUGAAUUUGUUCAGAUCUGCGAAAGUUUUGGAUGAUUCUGGAUUUGUUAUUGUGUUAGGAGAUGUCGUGUUCCUCAAGCCUGAACAGGGCUAUGAGGUUUUAAAGAGAGUUGUUGAUGUGAUUGGGCAAUAUGAUAGAAAAAAGCUUGAGCAAUUAAGCGGCUGCCACCUGCUGCUGUUGUUGAAGGUUUCUGUAUGCAUUAUGGCUUUGCAUUGAUGACGGUUGAUGUAAAUUCAGAGAAUGAAACUGCGACUGAAUUUGGUUUUGUGGCAGCGAUUGACCGAUGACAUUUUGUCGAUUCAGUUGUGGACUUGGAUCGGUCAACUGUUGAUG